rnacentral:misc_RNA from 1 species
GUAGGUGAACCUGCGGAAGGAUCAUUAACACGUUUUCCGAACGUUUUCUAUGAACCAUCUCCUAUUUUCCGUGAACAACAACAAAACCCGGCCUCCCAACCCGUUCUACCUGUUUACAGGUGUGUGACGUUGCUGGGCGUCUACGCUUUUAGGGCACCAUGGGAGCUUAUGAGCUGAAAAGAAUUUGACAGUUCUUAGUACGCUUGUUUGCCUCUUCCUUUAAGAAAGGCGUUGCCAAACAACCCAAACC